CGUGGAUGGUUACUUCGGUGGAUAGUUCAAUUGCAAGCCUAUCACCGGGUAUACAUUCAUCGA
rnacentral:pre_miRNA from 1 species